rnacentral:rRNA from 1 species
UACGGAGGGAGCUAGCGUUGUUCGGAAUUACUGGGCGUAAAGCGCGCGUAGGCGGCUUUGUAAGUUAGAGGUGAAAGCCCGGGGCUCAACUCCGGAACUGCCUUUAAGACUGCAUCGCUUGAAUCCGGGAGAGGUGAGUGGAAUUCCGAGUGUAGAGGUGAAAUUCGUAGAUAUUCGGAAGAACACCAGUGGCGAAGGCGACUCACUGGCCCGAUACUGACGCUGAAGCGCGAAAGCGUGGGGAGCAAACAGG